rnacentral:lncRNA from 1 species
GAGAAACUCAGACAAAGCCCAGGUUCUGGGCAUCGGUCCAGGGGCUCCGGUGUAAUGAGUGCUCAAAAGCCUGCCUUUGAGUGCCUGUUCUCAAGAAACCACAGCCUGUCUGAGCCUUCCUGCUGGUGGCCUUCGGUGUCACUGAGAUGAGGAACAAGCCGUAGCGUUGCUACAAAUAUUUCAUUCGAGACACAACGCCAACCACACAGAUGCUCAAGGCUCACAGAGGCCACCGUGCUUACAAGGGCCUCUGCUGGGCCCUAUACUUGUUUAAGCUCUAAACCAUCUGCUUGUUUGUCACAACAUCCUUAGUACUAUUCUUAGCAGCUGAAAGAAAUAGAACCUCAUGGAGAAGAAGCACUAGAAGCUGUCAAGUUUCAUGGAUAUCACCCUUCCUUGAUUUUUCCUUCUAUCAAGGGUCAUCUUCUCAGUGUUCUGAGUUUGAAGAGUCAGGCAUAUCAUAAGACUGAGAGAUGUUGCCUCGAUUUUAUCUCUUAAAUGUAAAUAGAGCCUAAAGCAUUCAGACUGAUGCUUGGGUGCAAAUUCUGGCCACCUCUUAUUAAAUGUGCCAAGCUGUUAACAGUAUGGAACUUUCUAAACCUCAGUAUCUAUACUCUAAAAUCUGUCAAAAAUGGAAGUUCAUGGGAAAACAAGCCUGCAUGCUUGGAGAACAAGAAGAGUUAGUUGCUCGGUUGUGGCCGACUCUUUGUGACCCCAUGGACUGUAGCCCACCAGGCUCCCCUGUCCAUGGGAUUUCCCAGGCAAGAAGACUGGAGUGGGGAGACGUUUCCUUCUCCAGGAGAUCUUCUCUACCUAGGGACUGACCUUGGGUCUCCUGCAUUGCAGGCAGAUUCUUAACCAUCUGAGCUACCAGAGCUGCCAACAUGCUCGGGGUGCAGGUAUAGACUUCAGUCCUGUCAGGAGGUCCGUGAGGGCACAGAAAGCAAACACUGCGGACGGCUGGGAUCAGAAACAGCCUGUGACCUUCCCGGCCCAGAGCGUUCACGAUGGUCCAACUCCUGCAACUCUUCGAGCCCUUGGGUGGAGGCGAAGAGCUGGUAUCUGAGAGGCCGGGGCCUGGCCUGUCUUCGGACUUGGUGCCCAUCUGCGCAGGCGUGUGAUUCUUUGCCUAGUGCGCAUGAGCGUGCACCCAGGCCACUUAAGCGAAGAGAGCCUUGGAGGAAUGCAGAAGCUGGUAACAGUCCUGCCCGCGGUGCUAGCGGGUUCAAAGUGACCAGCCUCACGGGCUGUCUCGGGGUCCCCUGCCCUUUUGUUGGGAGUCUCGCGGGAGCCCUCCUGAAUAGCGUGGCGAAUGGACAAGCGGAUCAGGCGGUCUCCCUGUCACUAAGGGGAUUUGAGCAAUCGAUUGACUGUCUGCCGUGCAGCUCUCAAACAGAACACUCCAGAAGGAGAUCCGGGGGCUUUAUUACGCUGAAGAAAGAAAGAAAAUGAGACAUGAACCUUGGAAGGAAUUUACCAAAGGCUAUUACACCAAGUUCAAGCCCAACUUGAAGCAAGACUAGCUUAGUAAGAUUAACUUCAACAUGCAUUUUCUGGAUUCUAUUAUGUCUGAGUGCAUGUAAGUUGAAGAGGGAGGCAGACACACAUAUGGAAAUCAACAGAAAGCAGGAGUAGCAAUACUCACCUCAGAUAAAAUAGACUUUAAAAUAAAGACUGUUACUAGAGACGGUUACAGAAGACAAAGAAGGACAUUACCUAAUGAUUAAAGGAUCAAUCCAAGGAGAAGAUACAACAACUAUAAAUAUAUAUGCACCCAGCGAAAGAGCACCUCAAUACAUGAGCCAAACACUGGCAACUAUUAAAGGGGAAAUCUGCAGUAAUAAUAAUAAUAGUGGGGGGAGGGACUUUAACACCCCACUCACACCAUCCAGACAGGAAAUUAAUAAGGAAUCACAAGUUUUAAAUGAUACAUUGGACUAAUUGGACCUAAUUGAUAGCCAUAAGGCAUUUCAUCCCAAAACGGUAGAUUUCACUUUUUCUCUCAAGUGCGCAUGGAACAUUCUCCAGGAUAGAUCGCAUCUUGGUCACAAAUCCAGCCUGGGUAAACUUUUAAAAAUUGAAUUCAUUUCUAUGGUCUCUUCAGAAAACAUCUGCCCGGUACUGCCCUGGUGGUCCAGUGGUGAAGAAUCCGCCUGUCGCUGCAGGGACGCGGGUUCAGUCCCUGAUCUGGGAAGAUACAUUCAGUGAAGCAGCUAAGCCCGUGGGCCACAACCACUGAGCCCGUGCUCUAGAGCCCACACCCCACAAUAAGAGAAGCCCCCGCAAUGAGAAGCCCUCCCACAGCCACACAGAGUCGCUCCAACUCGCUGUAACUAGAGAAAGCCUGCAUUCCAAAAGACCGAAAGACCCUGCAACCCAAACCAAGAAAACAAGAACGUCUGUCCACAUGCGAUCCUUCUGACUCAUCUUGGGGUCGUUUUUGCGCUUGAUUGUUGCGCUAGACACGACAGACAUGUGUAAUAUUUGUGUUCACUGUUUCAAAGAUUCCUCCAUGACUCCUUAGGGUAUCACAGACCCUGUUUGAAAUGAGACUUUUGUAUAAGCAAGAGUAGUAUACAUCACGGGUUAGUAACUAACUCAGAGAAUAUCCGUUUGCACAAUCCCAAAUGAUGGCCAUCUCUCCUCCAAGUCAUGACUCAAAGACCCUGGUUCCUUCUACCUCACGGGUCAACCAUCCUGGACUCAUCGGUGCAAGAAUGUGAAGACGGGUUAGUCGCCCAGCUGCGGGUGGCGCGCAUCGCUUCUGUCAACAGCGUGCCCAACACAGCGGCCGAGAACUCCGGGAAAGGCAGAAGCGCACAGAAGCAUGAGUAACGUUUAAUGAUCUCUGCCAUACAUACUUCGCGAUGGGCCUCAGGCAAAUCUGUUUUCUCCAAGCCGCGCUUCCUUAUCCACAAGAUGGGGUAGGUAUCCUCCUGCUUCUGGA